UACGUAGGGGGCAAGCGUUGUCCGGAUUUAUUGGGCGUAAAGAGCGUGUAGGCGGCCAGACAAGUCUGCUGUGAAAACUCGAGGCUCAACCUCGAGCUGUCGGCGGAAACUGUCUGGCUAGAGUCCGGAAGAGGAGAGUGGAAUUCCUGGUGUAGCGGUGAAAUGCGCAGAUAUCAGGAAGAACACCGAUGGCGAAGGCAGGUCUCUGGGCAUUAACUGACGCUGAGGAGCGAAAGCAUGGGGAGCGAACAGG
rnacentral:rRNA from 1 species